rnacentral:rRNA from 1 species
CGGACGGGUGAGUAACGCGUGGGCAACCUGCCCCGCACUGGGGGACAACAGCUGGAAACGGCUGCUAAUACCGCAUAGGCGCACGGCCUCGCAUGAGGCAGUGUGGAAAACUCCGGUGGUGCGGGAUGGGCCCGCGUCUGAUUAGCUGGUUGGCGGGGUAACGGCCCACCAAGGCAACGAUCAGUAGCCGGCCUGAGAGGGUGGACGGCCACAUUGGGGCUGAGACACGGCCCAGACUCCUACGGAAGGCAGCAG